AUGUGCUGCCGUUCGAGGGGAUGUAUGACUAAAAUAUUUCCUGUCCAGACAGCGCAGCCUGACUCACUGCUGGCACGGCCCGGCCCCGCCGCGGCACUUGCACCGGCCCCGCACCUGCCCGCGGAGCCAGCGCGGCCCCGCCGCUCCCUCCGCCCCGGCCCGUCCCGGGCUGCCCGGGCCCGGCGGCCGCUCCCCCCCGCCGCGGGGCCCCGCAGGAGCCGGGCCGACCCCCGCCGGUGGUUACCUGCUGUCCGGGGGCUCGGCGGGGCGGCCGGCCCGCGGCUCAUGGCGGUGCGGGAGGGGCGGGCGUGUGCGGCAACUCCGAUCCAGCGCGGCUCUCAGCGUCCCGCGGCCAAACCCCAACUAAUCCUCCGCGGGGAACCAACUCCGCGGGCCGGGCGCGCGGGCGGCCGGGCGGGCAUCCUUCCCGGGCCGCCGACCCCUUCCCCGCGCCUGCAAGAUGGUUCCCGGGAGCAGCGAGCGGAGCGCGGCGUGCGGGGUGCGCGGCGGGCACGGAGCGGGCGCUACUGGAGCGGCAGCAGGACAAAGAAAACCAUGUGCGGCGGCGGCGGCCGGGGGCAGCGGCGGCACCUCCGGGUGCGGGGCGGUGCGGGGCGGUGCGGCCGCGGCGCCUCCUCCCUCCCUCCGCGGCUCCAGCGCCGGCGGCUGCGCGUCCCUUCCUCCGGGCGGCUUUUUGGGUUCUCUUCCGCUGUUUGCUGUGGGAAAAACCAAUGUCCCCAGCUGCAGGCAGGGUGGCCUGCCGGGGACCCGGGCUGCUCGCUGAGCUGUGGUGACUGCCUGAGCCCCCGUGCAGAGACUCGACUGACUACUUCCAGCACUGAACAUUAUUGUCAACGGGCAAUGGAUUUCCCACUCGCUGUAGGUUUUCCUUAAGCGCAGCACACCAUUAGUAAUGGCCACCGCGGAAAAUAAACGCACAGAUACAUGAUGAUAUAAAUGAUUAUUCACUGAAGCGCGGCACUCGGAGCCAAAUGAUGUUUCCUGGGAAGAUGAGAGGCAGUUAUGCACAUUGGCACAGUAGCCCAUACGGUGAGAUGUUUCCUGGGAAAGGGAUAGGUGCUAAGAGAGGACUUACGGGCUUGCAAGACCGUGCCCAGGGAGUGUUUUCAAGAUUUCAAACCUGGAAAUGGGUUUCAAACCCAUACGGGCUAGGAGUGCUAAUGGAAUUUAACUCCCAUGGGUUCCACUUGAAUUUGAGCUAAAUCCUCAGAAACAGAGUUGACAAGCCCUAUUCACCCCAACUCCUGUGCCAGAGCUCAGCCUGGAGGAGGUGACUCUCCUAAGGAAAAGGUGGGAACUACCUACACCAGCCAGAAAACAAAAGCAGAGCAAGAGCUGUGUGUGCCUGGUCGGCCUCACCUGAGCUGGGAUUAUAGUUAUGUGCUCGAAAUCCAACAGCAGCUUGGAAAGAUGUCCCUAUGUCCUGGCCCAGCUCCGAGCUCGCCUCGGGACGUGGGAUGACGAGGGACUGCCCUUCUCCUGGCCCCAGGGCACCAAGGUGGCUCUGAGCUCUCCCCCAGCAGUGACGGGGUGCAGGUGGCUGCAGUGGCUCUGGUGGCCCUGCCCAGAGCAAAUCCCACAGUGUGUGAGGGGAAGGGAAAUCAUGAUCUGACUGUCCACACAAAAACAAGUACCAUAAUUAAGAAAGAACUCCUACCAAUUACCCAUGUAGAACUACAUGAUUUAAUGCAAGUAUUUCCUAUUUGUUCCUCAUUCCAUCACCGUAUGAUCUAUUUAAGAAUCCAUUUAAGUUUUCCCCUUCAGUAGCUUCUCCAGGAUUCUUACCUGAGGUGCAGUCCCACUGACUGUGGUGGUUUCUGCUGGGACAGCAGGGUGGGAAGAUGUACAAAGAACAGUAAUGAUACACAGGAGAUGAACACACCCAGCA
rnacentral:lncRNA from 1 species